rnacentral:antisense_RNA from 1 species
CUCUUAUCAGCUCUGCUGCCUUAAUGGGAUACUAGAUCUCUCUAAACGGCAGUUUCUUUAUCUCUAAAGUGAUGUAUACCCUUCCUGCAGUGUGGCAGUGAGGACAAAAUAAUACAUGCAGUAGUACCCCUAACAUAGUGCAGGACACGUAUGAGCCCCUGACCUUGUGGUGGGUUGCCAUUUUAUUCUCCAGGUUUUCAGUGGCUUAUAAUGAGUCCAAUUAUCUGAUCCAAGUGGUAAACAAAGGAUUCACUAAAAUCUUCAGAGAUAAAUAUAGUAAUAAGCCUGUUAUUUCUAUCCUGUGUUAAAAUGGAGAGGUUUUUGCGGGGGAGUGGUUUAAAGCAAGAUGGGCAUGAAGCUACAUGCUCACUAUACGGGCAUAAAUAGCAAAACAACAAAAAUAUCCCCUCACACCUUUGUAGACUAAUUACACAAGAAUUCCCUGCAUGGGCCUCACUAAAAGUCAAUGAGGCAUGUGAAGCAGGCAUAUAUCCCCAUUUUGCCUAUGAGUACACACAGAUGUGGAAACAGAACCUUUCGGUUACAGAGCUUAUUAUGGGCAAAAGCAAAAAUUAAAAUCAACUUAAUUAGUUAGACGGUAGUAAGUGCUAGAGAGGAAAGGGGAUAGGGAAUGUGGGAGGGCUGUAAUUGUAAUACAGCAGAUUGAAGAAAGUCUCACUGAGAAGUGAAUUUGAGAUAAGACCUGAAGGAAAUGGAUCUAACAUGCAGCUUUCUGAAACAGCUGGAAAUGCUGGGACGUGCAGCAUUCUAUACUGCAAGUAGGCCCCAUGAAACAACCCUAAGGCAAGAAAGCAUCCACUAUGCCCAGAGAACAGCAAGGUGGCCCAGUUGGGUAGAGCAGAGUGACCUGUAGGAAGAAUAAUGGAUGUCAGGAGGAUUACUCUGGAUGCUAUGCUGAGAAGAAACUGAAGACAAUGGUGGAAGUGGGAAAGCUUAUGACUCAGAAUAACUAUGUCUAAUAACAAAUUUUAAGUUCUCUUCAUGGUAUUAAGAAGAAAGAAUCUGAGAAAUUAUGGCGUACUCAACUGUGGACAGCUGAAAGUCUGGCAUAGCGUGCCCUCAUCAUCACAAAUGGGCUCGCAUUACAAGCUACACUUAUUUGACAACUAUCAGCAUUUGUCAACUGGCACUCAGAUUUGAAGCCUCAUUUCACAACUGGAGCAAGAGAGGACAGGAAGGAAAAAUCAGAGUAAGGUUUCAAUGAGUUUCUGCAAAUUCUCAGAAGUUUUGCUGCCACUCAGUGUCACAAUAACAAAAAGAAAUAAAAAUAGCUGAUAUUUACUAAA